GUCGAACGAACUCUGGUAUUGAUUGGUGCUUGCAUCAUGAUUUACAUUUGAGUGAGUGGCGAACUGGUGAGUAACACGUGGGAAACCUGCCCAGAAGCGGGGGAUAACACCUGGAAACAGAUGCUAAUACCGCAUAACAACUUGGACCGCAUGGUCCGAGCUUGAAAGAUGGCUUCGGCUAUCACUUUUGGAUGGUCCCGCGGCGUAUUAGCUAGAUGGUGGGGUAACGGCUCACCAUGGCAAUGAUACGUAGCCGACCUGAGAGGGUAAUCGGCCACAUUGGGACUGAGACACGGCCCAAACUCCUACGGGAGGCAGCAGUAGGGAAUCUUCCACAAUGGACGAAAGUCUGAUGGAGCAACGCCGCGUGAGUGAAGAAGGGUUUCGGCUCGUAAAACUCUGUUGUUAAAGAAGAACAUAUCUGAGAGUAACUGUUCAGGUAUUGACGGUAUUUAACCAGAAAGCACGGCUAACUACGUGCCAGCAGCCGCGGUAAUACGUAGGUGGCAAGCGUUGUCCGGAUUUAUUGGGCGUAAAGCGAGCGCAGGCGGUUUUUUAAGUCUGAUGUGAAAGCCUUCGGCUCAACCGAAGAAGUGCAUCGGAAACUGGGAAACUUGAGUGCAGAAGAGGACAGUGGAACUCCAUGUGUAGCGGUGAAAUGCGUAGAUAUAUGGAAGAACACCAGUGGCGAAGGCGGCUGUCUGGUCUGUAACUGACGCUGAGGCUCGAAAGUAUGGGUAGCAAACAGGAUUAGAUACCCUGGUAGUCCAUACCGUAAACGAUGAAUGCUAAGUGUUGGAGGGUUUCCGCCCUUCAGUGCUGCAGCUAACGCAUUAAGCAUUCCGCCUGGGGAGUACGGCCGCAAGGCUGAAACUCAAAGGAAUUGACGGGGGCCCGCACAAGCGGUGGAGCAUGUGGUUUAAUUCGAAGCUACGCGAAGAACCUUACCAGGUCUUGACAUACUAUGCAAAUCUAAGAGAUUAGACGUUCCCUUCGGGGACAUGGAUACAGGUGGUGCAUGGUUGUCGUCAGCUCGUGUCGUGAGAUGUUGGGUUAAGUCCCGCAACGAGCGCAACCCUUAUUAUCAGUUGCCAGCAUUAAGUUGGGCACUCUGGUGAGACUGCCGGUGACAAACCGGAGGAAGGUGGGGAUGACGUCAAAUCAUCAUGCCCCUUAUGACCUGGGCUACACACGUGCUACAAUGGAUGGUACAACGAGUUGCGAACUCGCGAGAGUAAGCUAAUCUCUUAAAGCCAUUCUCAGUUCGGAUUGUAGGCUGCAACUCGCCUACAUGAAGUCGGAAUCGCUAGUAAUCGCGGAUCAGCAUGCCGCGGUGAAUACGUUCCCGGGCCUUGUACACACCGCCCGUCACACCAUGAGAGUUUGUAACACCCAAAGUCGGUGGGGUAACCUUUUAGGAACCAGCCGCCUAAGU
rnacentral:rRNA from 1 species